AGGGACAUUCUCUAUGGACCAAGCAUUCAAAUAUGUGAGUCUAAAGAGGCCAUUCCUAUUCUAACCAUCACACUGAUCAAAAGCUGAAACAAAAUGAUUUUAUGGAAGAGGCUAGUGAACACUCAAUUAUAAUGUUCCCAUUCAGCUUCCUGGUUCCAAUCCAGAAGCCCACAUAUAUCAGAGACACUGUGUCCUAGUAGCUUCCACAUUUGUGCACUCAAUUUGCAGUAAUAUUGUGGGCUUAUAGUUUAGCAAAUUUUCCCAUAAAAUGUGGAAAGAAAUGAUAUUAUUAACUUGUCACAGAGAAAUUAAGGUUGCCAAGGAUUACAAAGCCCACGUAUAGUUAGUGAGCACCUUGCAGACACACAGGAUGUACUUCUCCAAGAUGGUGCAAUGGAGCAGAAACAGCUCAUGUCCCUAAUAAGAAGCCACGAGGGACCUCAUUGCUUAUUGAAGAGUCUUGCAGCAUACUUUGUUCGUUGGUCUUUUCUUAAUGGUUGGCUAUUUCUCCUCCAAUUCAAGGUAAGCAGAUAACUUGUUAUGAUUACUUAAAUUAAAGAGAAGAGGCCAAAGAGGAGAAAUGGGAGAUGAGGAGAAAGAAGAGUUGGGGGAGAUGGAGGGAUGGAAAGAAAGAAAGAGGAGAAGAAAAGAGGAUAAAGAAAAUGUGGAAUAAGAAGGGGAAGAAGAGGAGGAGAGGGAGGAGAUAGGGGGGUGAAGAAAGUGAGGAAGAGGAGGAGGACAAGGAGGAGGAUAGAAAGAAGGAGGAGGAAGAAGGAAGGAGAGAGGAGGUAGAGAAGGAGAAGGAGUUUGUCCCUUUACCCUCUCCAAGUUGAGAUCCCUACUUUCAGCUGAUCUCUCUAAACACAGUCAUUAGUCAAUUGGUUUUAACAUGGGCAUAAAGAUUGAUAUCUACCAUGGUGACAAAGAAGAAAUCCUUUAAUUCACACAAAUUAUAAGCUGAUGACUUGAUUAAGAAGCCUCAUUGUUUCAACUUUGGGAAAGUGAAGUGUUUUUUGAACUACUAACGUGAAAUGUAAGUCACAGUUGGUGACUCUCAUCUCUCUCUUGCUCUUUUCUUGCUUUCUCCCUUUGUCUUUACCAAUUUAGAACAUUGCAACUAUUAGGUACCAUUCAGAGUCAAUGCGGACCUGAACACACAACUGGCCACGGAGGGAGGCCCUUCAUAAACAGAUCUUGCUGAGUUUAAUCAGAAUCUGCCUCAUGCACAUAGACACAGAUCCUCUUAGAGAUGAAAAGGUUGUCUGUGCAUACUUACAUCAGGGUGUGGCUACACAUUGAAAUUCACUGGUCUUGAGAUCUUUCUGGUCCUAUAGGGUACUGAUGUAUGUAUAUCCUGGUCUAUUAAUCACACAUGCAAAAAGGAAUUUUAGCCUGCAGAGUUGGCAUUUCUUUUUAAGUUUGUUCUUGUUGUUUUUGGUUUUUUAACCAUGAUAAAAAACAUAAUGGAAGAAAUCACUAAGGUAUUAACAUCAACAGUCAAGAUGAUAAUCUGGUAAGUAUGCAAUAACAGCAGUAGCAGAGGAAGAAGGCUGGUGGUCACUCAUAGAACAAAGCAGGCGCCCUCAGGUGCAAGCCCUCUUUGCACUCUCCACAAACAUUAAAAUCUAACAGAACAAAGACCGUGACCACCCCAGACACACAUCCCACAACUCCAAGCUAUGUGUGUCCAGAAGAGAAACAAAACAAAAUUUAUGGCUUUUGCUCUAGUAAUUCCUGGUGAGUCAUAUCCAUAUAUUUCAACACCAGGACACUUCUUCAUUUUCCAGGUGACUCUUUAAAGCUGUUACUACAGAUCUUGAGAUAUCAUUCAUGAUUACCUUAAACCCCUAAGACCCAUUCAUUAACCCAAUGGUAUCAAAUAUUUCAAAUCCAAUCGGGUUCCUCCCUCCUACAAGUUGAUGAAAAUGAAAACACACAGAGUCACCUUAAUAAAAUGAAGAACUGAGUCAACAGAAUUGUUGCAGCAGGUGUGUGUUCUAACUGCACUGCCUGUGCUAUUGAGGUGACUCCAUGAGACAUUCUUCACUAUCCAUGAUAAAGAAUGGCUUUUCUGCACCACAAAAUUGAGGAAGAGUUUGAAGCUCACGGCUGCCAGAGUGAAACCUUGGGCUCUGGUAUUAGCUGCCUUGUACAUGGCUGAUUGGAACACAAAGGAAAAUAAUCUUGUAAGUUGUUGAUGAAAACAAGACUACUUGAAAUUUUAAUAUGAAAAACAUCCUUCAUUGUCUGGCCUAUCAAAUAUUUAAUGGUUCUAAACUUCAAGUUAUUCUGAGAACAAGAUAGGA
rnacentral:lncRNA from 1 species